GAGUAUGAGAUAGUGACUAAAAAUAUAAAGACUCAUCCUUUUGGAUGGAGUUAUUUCAAUGAGUUGAAUAUAAAUUAUUCUUCGAGUAGCAAGGAGAGGGCAAGUCUGGUGCCAGCAGCCGCGGUAAUUCCAGCUCUCCUAGUGUAUCUCGUUAUUGCUGCGGUUAAAAAGCUCGUAGUUGGAUCUAGGUUACGUGCCGCAGUUCGCAAUUUGCGUUAACUGUGGUCGUGACUUCUAAUUUGCUGGUUUGAGGUUGGGUUCGCCCUUCAACUGCCAGCAGGUUUACCUUGAAUAAAUCAGAGUGCUCAAUACAGGCGCUUGCUUGAAUAGCUCAUCAUGGAAUAAUGAAACAGGACUUCGGUUCUUUUUGUUGGUUCUAGAAUUGAUCUAAUGGUUAAGAGGGACAAACCGGGGGCAUUCGUAUCAUUACGCGAGAGGUGAAAUUCGUGGACCGUAGUGAGACGCCCAAUAGCGAAAGCAUUUGCCAAGAAUGUCUUCAUUAAUCAAGAACGAAAGUCAGAGGUUCGAAGGCGAUUAGAUACCGCCCUAGUUCUGACCGUAAACGAUGCCAUCUCGCGAUUCGGAGGGUUCAUGCCCUACCGAGGAGCUACCCGGAAACGAAAGUCUUUCGGUUCCGGGGGUAGUAUGGUUGCAAAGCUGAAACUUAAAGAAAUUGACGGAAGGGCACCACAAGGCGUGGAGCUUGCGGCUUAAUUUGACUCAACACGGGAAAACUCACCCGGUCCGGACACUAUUAGGACUGACAGAUUGAAAGCUCUUUCUCGAUUUGGUGGUUGGUGGUGCAUGGCCGUUCUUAGUUGGUGGAGUGAUUUGUCUGGUUUAUUCCGAUAACGAGCGAGACUCUAGCCUGCUAAAUAGUCGACGAAUCUUCGGGUUCGUAUAACUUCUUAGAGGGAUAAGCGGUGUUUAGCCGCACGAGAUUGAGCGAUAACAGGUCUGUGAUGCCCUUAGAUGUCCGGGGCUGCACGCGUGCUACACUGGUGGAGUCAGCGGGUUUUUCCUAUGCCGAAAGGUAUCGGUAAACCGUUGAACUUCUUCCAUGUCCGGGAUAGGGUAUUGUAAUUAUUACCCUUAAACGAGGAAUGCCUAGUAAGUGUGAGUCAUCAGCUCACGUUGAUUACGUCCCUGCCCUUUGUACACACCGCCCGUCGCUAUCCGGGACUGAACUGAUUCGAGAAGAGUGGGGACUGUGGCUGCGAGGUUUUACCACUUCGCAGUUGCGG
rnacentral:ncRNA from 1 species